UACAGAGGGUGCAAGCGUUGUUCGGAAUUAUUGGGCGUAAAGCGCGUGUAGGCGGCUUUGCAAGUCGGGUGUGAAAGCCCUCGGCUCAACCGAGGAAGUGCGCCCGAAACUGCAGAGCUUGAGUACCGGAGAGGAUGGCGGAAUUCCCCAAGUAGAGGUGAAAUUCGUAGAUAUGGGGAGGAACACCGGUGGCGAAGGCGGCCCCCUGGUUGGAUACUGACGCUGAUACGCGAAAGCGUGGGGAGCAAACAGG
rnacentral:rRNA from 1 species